GAGUUUGAUCAUGGCUCAGAUUGAACGCUGGCGGCAUGCCUUACACAUGCAAGUCGAACGGCAGCAUGAUCUAGCUUGCUAGAUUGAUGGCGAGUGGCGAACGGGUGAGUAAUACAUCGGAACGUGCCCUGUAGUGGGGGAUAACUAGUCGAAAGAUUAGCUAAUACCGCAUACGACCUGAGGGUGAAAGUGGGGGACCGCAAGGCCUCAUGCUAUAGGAGCGGCCGAUGUCUGAUUAGCUAGUUGGUGGGGUAAAGGCCCACCAAGGCGACGAUCAGUAGCUGGUCUGAGAGGACGAUCAGCCACACUGGGACUGAGACACGGCCCAGACUCCUACGGGAGGCAGCAGUGGGGAAUUUUGGACAAUGGGCGAAAGACCUGAUCCAGCAAUGCCGCGUGUGUGAAGAAGGCCUCGGUUGGUAAGUAC
rnacentral:rRNA from 1 species